AAACCAACAGGGAUUGCCUCAGUAACGGCGAGUGAAGCGGCAAAAGCUCAAAUUUGAAAUCUGGCGUCUUUGGCGUCCGAGUUGUAAUUUGAAGAUGGCAACUUUGGGUCUGGUGCUUGUCUAAGUUCCUUGGAACAGGACGUCAUAGAGGGUGAGAAUCCCGUAUGAUGAGAGAGCCAGAUCUUUGUAAAGUGCCUUCGAAGAGUCGAGUUGUUUGGGAAUGCAGCUCUAAGUGGGUGGUAAAUUCCAUCUAAAGCUAAAUAUUGGCGAGAGACCGAUAGCGAACAAGUACAGUGAUGGAAAGAUGAAAAGAACUUUGAAAAGAGAGUGAAAAAGUACGUGAAAUUGUUGAAAGGGAAGGGUUUGAGAUCAGACAUGGUAUUUUGUACACCUUCUCUCUCGGGAGGGGGCCUCUGCAGUUUACUGGGCCAGCAUCAGUUUGGACGGUAGGAUAAUGACUAAGGAAUGUGGCUCUUCUUCGGAAGUGUGUUAUAGCCUUUGUUGAUACUGCCUGUCUAGACUGAGGACCGCGUCUUUGACAAGGAUGUUGGCAUAAUGAUCUUAAGCCAC
rnacentral:rRNA from 2 species